UAAACCCCGCCGGACUGCUAGUGAGAUGAGAUUUGCAGUCACCAGAGGCAGGGGAGAGGAGGGGGUAACGCUGGAGGAAGGUGGUCGGAACGAACAGACGUCCGGCUGCAGGAAGAAUAGGACGAAGGCUGUGAUGCCCAGCGCGGUGACCAUAGUUUACACUCUGCCCUACGGUGUACAGGAAAGCUGCUAAGAGAGGACAUCCUAAGAGCUCUCAUCACAAGGAGAAAUGUAUUUUCUCUUUUUCUUCCUUUUCUGUGUCUGUAUGAGAUGCUGACUGUUCAGUAAACUUAUCAUGAUGAUCAUUUCACAAUCUACGUAAGUCAGGUCAUCACGUUGUACACCUCAAACUUACACAGCAAUGCACGUCAACGAUUUCCCAGUAAAACUGGAAAAAGUAAGAUAAAAAGGAAAUCUGUCCUGUCCCCACAUCUAGUCCCUUCCUCUCUCCGCAAAGCGUCAGACCCGGUCCCCUCCUCCGUCAGCCCCGCCAGCCCUCCGCGCGCCCUGAGCAACCCCAGGAGGCCCAGGCCCCUCUGAGGAUGCGCACCGGCAGGCUUGCGCCCUGAAUCUCUGAAAGCUCCACAUCUUAUCUAACUUUCACAGAACACGAAAUAUCACGUGGCUGUGAACUUGGGUCUGAGCCACAGCCCUGGCGUUAGGGAUUCCACGCCGUGACAGAGGGAGAGAAUUCCACCGUGAACGCGCGGAUUCUGAGCAGAUGCGGGAACAGCUGACCCGGGAGCCCGGGCUCCAAGCAGGUGGCGGAGGCUCUGGACGCAGGGAGCCUGGUCGGAGGCACAGUGAGAGCAGCGGGUCAGGCCCUGCAGCGCCAGGCGGCUGAGUCCACGCCUGCAAGCCGCUCCCCAGUGGAGCCCGGCCAGGGCGGAUGGCUGCCAGACAGCCGGGCGGAUGAGUCAGCCCCGGAAAUAAUCCGGCUGGGACCCAGUGGGACAGCAGAGAACAGAAGGGUCAGGAGCAACAGGGAUGCACAUGAAAGACACCUUGACAGAGGAAGGUGACCUAGUGGAGGAUCCGUGAGGAAAGGCGGGGAGACGCUGUGCAGACGUGUCAUCUCGCGCGGGCGUGUGUACCUGCAGGACUACUGGGCUUCUGUCGCCUGAGAUGGGGGAUCCGACAGGCUGUGUCCUGUCACCCCUCCCCUCGUGGCACCGAAUGCACGUGACUGUCCCCGCAGGACAGAGAAAAGCGUCCCGACCCAGGGCACCUGCCUGCAGAGUGACGGGGCCACGCUGAAGGGCCCCCGGCGGGAUAAUCCCCCCGCAGGGCGACAUCCCCGCUUCCUCUCCUGAGCCCGCUGCUGCCGGAGGAGAUGCUGGGUUACGCAGGGGUUCGGUACGCUGUCCUGACACCUUGCUCUGAAGGCUUACUGGCCCCUGGCCGCUCCAGGUGGCUGGGAGGACGUGGGUCAGGCAGGGACAGGCAUUUACUGCAAGACAGCGAGGGUGAUGUGGACGGAAACGUGGGCGGAAAGGGGCUGCGCGACAUGGAGGACAUUGAUUUUGCCUGCUCCAGAGGCUGCAGCGUGGCCCCGGUGGGCGGGGACAGUGGCCCCAGCAAAGCCCAUUCUGGGAAAAUGUCCCGUCCUCUCCAGAGUCACCGGCGUGCCGGCGGGUCUCAGAGCAGUGCCCUGGCCAGCGCCCAGCCUUGCGGCUAGACCAGCAACGUGGCUGCAACCUCCUGUGCAUUUGUACUGGGUCCCACUGACUUGCCAUCCAAGAUCGGGUUUGAAAAUGUAUUUUUACAUAAUAUCACCCAAUCACUGUCUUCUUAAAGGUAUGCGGCAUCAAAGAAUGCCAUUGACUGUGAUUUAUAGCAUGACGUUGAAAAAAUGCAAAUGUAUUUGUACCUCUA